rnacentral:rRNA from 1 species
UAGGGAAUCUUCGGCAAUGGGGGGAACCCUGACCGAGCAACGCCGCGAGAGUGAAGAAGGUUUUCGGAUCGUAAAGCUCUGUUGUUAAGGAAGAACGAGUGUGAGAAUGGAAAGUUCAUACUGUGACGGUACUUAACCAGAAAGGGACGGCUAACUACGUGCCAGCAGCCGCGGUAAUACGUAGGUCCCGAGCGUUGUCCGGAUUUAUUGGGCGUAAAGCGAGCGCAGGCGGUUAGAUAAGUCUGAAGUUAAAGGCAGUGGCUCAACCAUUGUAGGCUUUGGAAACUGUUUAACUUGAGUGCAGAAGGGGAGAGUGGAAUUCCAUGUGUAGCGGUGAAAUGCGUAGAUAUAUGGAGGAACACCGGUGGCGAAAGCGGCUCUCUCGUCUGUAACUGACGCUAAGGCUCGAAAGCGUGGGGAGCGAACAGG